rnacentral:lncRNA from 12 species
AAAGAGCCCCCGUCCUAUCGGGGGGGGUUCAGCGCUUUUGGGGCUGCUGCAGCGCCAGCUCUGCUUUUGGGGUUCCCGGAGCGGGGAAAGGGGGUCCCAGGGAAAGAUUUGGGGGUGCAGGUGAGGGUGUUUGGGGGUCCUCACCUGGGUGCAGCUCUAAUCAGGGGUGGGGCUUAGGGCAGGUUUUUGGGGUGGUUUUGGCGUGUAUUUGCGGUGGUUUUUUGGGGUGGUUUUGGGGUGGUUUUUGGCUGGUUUUGGGGUGUUUUGGGGGAUCCCCACCUGGGUGCUGCUGUAGUACCGGGGGUGGGGUUUAGGGGAGGUUUUUGGGGUGGUUUUGGGGUGUUUUUAGGGUUGUUUUGGGGGGGUAUUUUUGGGGUGGUUUUGGGCUGUAUUCGCGAUGUUUUUGGGGCUAGUUUUGGGGUGGUUUUGGGGUGGUUUUGGGGUGGUUUUUGGGAGUUUUUGGGGUGUUUUUGGGCUGUGUUUGGGCUGUUUUUGGGGUGGUGUUUGGGAUGAUUUUGGGAUGGUUUUGGGGAUGUUUUUGGGCUGUGUUUGGGCUGUUUUUGGGGUGGUGUUUGGGAUGAUUUUGGGAUGGUUUUGGGGAUGUUUUUGGGUUGUGUUUGGGGUGUUUUUGGUGGAGGCUUUGGGGGUUGUUUGGGAUGUGUUUGGAGUGUUCUGGGGUGUUUUUUGGGAUGUUUUUUGGGUGCUUUUGGGGUGUUUGGGGUCCCCACCUGCGUGCCGCUGUAGUAGCUUGGGUGGAGUUUAGGGGAGGUUUUUGGGGUGUUUUUGGGCCGUGUUUGGGGUGGUUUCGGGGUGGUUUUGGGGUGGUGUUUGGGCUGGUUUCGGGGUGUGUUUUGGGGUGGUGUUUGGGAUGGUUUUUUGGCUGUUUUUGGGGUGUUUUUGGGGUGGGGGGGGGGGGGGGGGGGGGGGGGGGGGGGGGGGGGGGGGGGGGGGGGGGGGGGGGGGGGGGGGGGGGGGGGGGGGGGGGGGGGGG